rnacentral:rRNA from 1 species
GGGGAAUAUUGGACAAUGGGCGAAAGCCUGAUCCAGCCAUGCCGCGUGUGUGAAGAAGGUCUUCGGAUUGUAAAGCACUUUAAGUUGGGAGGAAGGGCAGUAAAUUAAUACUUUGCUGUUUUGACGUUACCGACAGAAUAAGCACCGGCUAACUCUGUGCCAGCAGCCGCGGUAAUACAGAGGGUGCAAGCGUUAAUCGGAAUUACUGGGCGUAAAGCGCGCGUAGGUGGUUCGUUAAGUUGGAUGUGAAAUCCCCGGGCUCAACCUGGGAACUGCAUUCAAAACUGACGAGCUAGAGUAUGGUAGAGGGUGGUGGAAUUUCCUGUGUAGCGGUGAAAUGCGUAGAUAUAGGAAGGAACACCAGUGGCGAAGGCGACCACCUGGACUGAUACUGACACUGAGGUGCGAAAGCGUGGGGAGCAAACA